GCUACCACCACCUCCACAGUCCAUGCGGCGCACAACCAUCUUCACCACCACUAUCAUCACCUGAACGCUAAUCAGCCAUGAUUGUGAACAAAAUGCCACUUCAUCACAAGGAAAGCCACAACAAGCUAUUUAACACAAUUUCCUCAACAACCUCAAUAACUGCAGGUCAAUUAGCUAACUCAUUUUUAAUGCUUAUAUUUUUGCGUUAAAAAUACCUGCAAGAAACAAAUAUACAUGUGGAAGUAAAUAAAAAGAACAAGAAAGAAGCAUGAGAAUCUUGAUACAACUUUCCAAGAAAAUCUUUACAGCACAGUUCCAGCAUUUUCUUUCUGCUAACUUUCCCCUCUUUCUUUUAUUUUAUUCCCAAGAAUAUGCUUUUUUCUUUCUUUCCCUUGUAAUUAAUUUCUUGCUUAAUUUCUUUACAUUGAUAUUCUUGUGUGCGAGUCCUACCAUUUGCAAUUCCUUCAUACUGUGACCCAGAAACAACCAUGGAGAUCAAAAUAAUGAGAAGCUUCGAGGUAGUAGUUUGGUUGCUUUUACUUCUGUUGGUAGAAGAAAAAUCUUGUGGCAUGAAACAGCAGAAUAAGCUAAGAGAAAUGGAAGCAAAGCUUCAAGAAAUAGCAGCAGCAGAAGCAACAUUAUAUUCUUUUGCAUCCCUCCUAGUUUCAGAGACCAAACAGAUUGGGAGAGUGUUGUAUCCAACUGGGUACGGGGCGGAUCCAAGUGGGGAAGAAGAGAGCAGUGAUGCUAUAUUGAAGGCGUUGAAUGAUGCGUUUCAACUGCAAAAUGGGCUAGAAUUGCUGCCUGGUAUAAAUGAUUUGGGUGGUGUUGUAAUUGAUUUGCAAGGUGGAAAUUACAAAAUCAGCAAACCCAUCAGGUUUCCAGCUGCUGGUGGAGCCAACAUUGAGGUAAAAGGAGGAACUUUGCGAGCAUCAGACACAUUUCCAGAAGAUAGGCAUCUGAUUGAAGUAUGGUCACCAAAUUCCAAACCACUUGAUAAUUCAGAUUCCAUUCAUGAUCUUCCAGGUUUCAGAGACAGAAAAGACCAGGGUAUAGGCAUCUACUACGAGGACAUAAUCUUCAGGGACAUUCUCUUCGAUUCAAGGUACAGAGGAGGAGGCAUUUUCAUCAUAGAUUCUGCAAGAAUUCGCAUCAACAAUUGCUUCUUUGUACACUUCACAACACAAGGAAUUCUA
rnacentral:misc_RNA from 1 species